GAUGAACGCUGGCGGCGUGCUUAACACAUGCAAGUCGAACGAUUAAAGCCCCUUCGGGGGUGUAUAGAGUGGCGAACGGGUGAGUAACACGUGGGUAACCUGCCUGGUGCACCGGGAUAGCUCAGGGAAACUUGAAUUAAUACCGGAUACUCCGACUAGACCGCAUGGUCGUAUCGGGAAAGCUCCGACGGCACCAGAUGGACCCGCGGCCCAUUAGCUAGUUGGUGAGGUAACGGCCCAACAAGGCGACGAUGGGUAGCCGAGCUGAGAGGCUGAUCGGCCACAUUGGGACUGAUACACGGCCCGGACUACUACGGGAGGCAGCAGUGGGGAAUUUUGCGCAGUGGACGAAAGUCUGACGCAGCAACGCCGCGUGGAGGAUGAAGGUUUUCGGAUCGUUAACUCCUUUCAGUAGUGAUGAAUUUGACAGUAGCUACAGAAGAAGCCCCGGCUAAAUACGUGCCAGCAGCCGCGGUAAAAC
rnacentral:rRNA from 1 species